UACGUAGGUGGCAAGCGUUAUCCGGAUUUAUUGGGCGUAAAGGGAACGCAGGCGGUCUUUUAAGUCUGAUGUGAAAGCCUUCGGCUUAACCGGAGUAGUGCAUUGGAAACUGGAGGACUGGAGAGCAGGAGAGGGCGGUGGAACUCUAUGUGUAGCGGUAAAAUGCGUAGAUAUAUGGAAGAACACCAGUGGCGAAGGCGGCCGCCUGGCCUGUUGCUGACGCUGAGGCACGAAAGCGUGGGGAGCAAAUAGG
rnacentral:rRNA from 1 species